AACUGCCACUCGCGCCUCCACAGGGUUUCGGGCGCAGGCGCGCGCUCCGGGGCGCGCUCUCGCUCGCGCGCGCGGCGCCCCCUCUCCGCCACGUGACCUGCAGCUCGGCGAGACCCGUGCUCCGGUCCCCAGCCCAAUGGCGGGGCCGGAGACCCUCCUCUCCGCGGAGGUAGUCGCCCCUCCAUCGUCCGAGGAGUUCGUGGAGACCUGCACGCGUGCGGCACAGUAAUGCCGGUCAGCCCGGGUUUCUGACGUAAAAAGGGGAAAGCCGCCAAGGACGGAUGCCGCGCGCCCCUAGGGCCUGACUCAGGUUGAUAGACUGGAUGAGGCAUGGAUGAUCUACUGUUCACAAGCUUGUUCAGUGAGCAAAACUUCUGCAGAUUUCAAGGAGAGAACUCUCAUUCAGAACAUCUUCCUCUAGUUUCAUGUUCUAUGUCAAGUGUAGUCCUGCCGCUUCCCAAGGGCUGGAUCUGGACCUGAGAUGAACUCGCCACUUGUUGAAGGAAGACUCACUCCGAGUUGGUGUGAUGCACUCCAAGCCCCUCCCUGACCUCUUCCUGCUCUGUUUUCGUUCUUCCCUUAAUCUCACUGGCCUGCAGUCUGGCAUUCUAAUCAGUUGGCUUCUCUGGGUUUCUGCUAGCAGGAGAUAAUAGGGGCAGAAGAGUUUGGUAGAAAACAAAUUGGUUGCAAUAAAAAUUUCUUCAAUAUAACAAAUUAGUAAAAAAAUGAUUAUUUCCAA